UGGGGAAUAUUGCACAAUGGACGGAAGUCUGAUGCAGCGACGCCGCGUGGGGGAUGAAGGCUUUCGGGUUGUAAACUCCUUUCAGUACAGAAGAAGCUUUAUUGUGACGGUAUGUGCAGAAGAAGCGCCGGCUAACUACGUGCCAGCAGCCGCGGUAAUACGUAGGGCGCGAGCGUUGUCCGGAAUUAUUGGGCGUAAAGAGCUCGUAGGCGGUUUGUCGCGUCUGCUGUGAAAGACCGGGGCUCAACUCCGGGGCUGCAGUGGGUACGGGCAGGCUGGAGUGCGGUAGGGGUAACCGGAAUUCCUGGUGUAGCGGUGGAAUGCGCAGAUAUCAGGAGGAACACCGAUGGCGAAGGCAGGUUACUGGGCCGUUACUGACGCUGAGGAGCGAAAGCAUGGGUAGCGAACAGG
rnacentral:rRNA from 1 species